rnacentral:rRNA from 1 species
UACGGAGGGGGCAAGCGUUGUUCGGAAUUACUGGGCGUAAAGGGCGCGCAGGCGGCUGCUCAAGUCAGGCGUGAAAGGCCUGGGCUCAACCCGGGAAUUGCGCUUGAAACUGUUUGGCUCGAGUACGAGAGAGGUGAGUGGAAUUCCCAGUGUAGAGGUGAAAUUCGUAGAUAUUGGGAAGAACACCGGUGGCGAAGGCGGCUCACUGGACAGUAACUGACGCUGAUGCGCGAAAGCUAGGGGAGCAAACAGG